rnacentral:rRNA from 1 species
GACGAACGCUGGCGGCGUGCUUAACACAUGCAAGUCGAACGGUGAAGCGCCUUCCUGUUUGGUGGGUGUGGUUGCGUGGCGAACGGGUGCGUAACACGUGCGUAACCUGCCCCCUGCUUCUGGAUAACCGCAUGAAAGCGUGGCUAAUACGAGAUAUGCUGGGUCAGUCGAAUGAUGGGUCUGGUGCAGUUAUUGUUUCGGUGGGGGAUGGGCUCGCGGCCUAUCAGCUUGUUGGUGGAGUGGUGGCCUACGAAGGCGGUGACGGGUAGCCGGCAUGGGAGGGUGGACGGUCAGACUGGGACUGAGAGACGGGCCAGACACGUACGGGAGGCAGCAGGGGGGAAUAGUGAAGGAUGGGCGCAAGCCUGAUGCAGCGAGGCCGCGUGAGGGAGGGAGGCCGGCGGUUUGGGACCGUCGUUCGCGAGGGAAGCGGGCCUGCCUCGUAUGUGGGCGGUUUGACGGUAGCUGGAUAAGAAGCGCCGGCUAACUACGUG